GUGCUAAUGAGGCUGGGGUGGGGGAGUGGGCGGUGGGCGGUGGGCCGCCGAGCUGGGGCAGGUCGGGGUGGGGGGCCCCCUCCGGGAAGGCCUGGGAGCCCUCCGCCCUGGCCGCCUCCCCCAUCAGACUGGGAGUGCGUCUGAUUGGGCAGCCAGGAGGCGGUGGUCCUUCUCCCCGCCCCGCUGGGGGGUGGUGUCUUCCGGGAAGUCGGGGUCCUACCCGGGGAGUGAGUGAGGGGGCUGCCUAGGGCCCUGGGCCCCAUCCCGACUUGCCUCCUGCAAAGGCCCACCCGGUCCCCACCCAUACUCCUCCGCCUUUCCCUUCUUGGUGUCUGUUUUCCAACCCAUCUCGGCUUCCUUUCUUUCUUCACCGGAGAGUCCCCCGGAUUUUGUUUCCUGCCCCACCUGGGGAGGGCAUCCUGGCACCUCAGACUUGUCCUAGGUUCCUACAGAGAGGAAAAAAAAAACCGGCAGCCCUGGAGGGAUGUUGUGUUUUCAAUAAACCUCAGUUUCUUCAUCUGUAAAAUGGGGGUGACGAUAAUGGGCCCGCCUGAGCAUUUGGCAGACGGAUCGGGCCCAGUCUCGCAUCUUGAUUCUCUCACCUGAGCCAGGAGUCAGGAGAUGUGGGCUUUGGUCCCAGCCAGGAAUUGGCGCUUUCUUUCUUAGAACUGAUCUCCCCACCACAUGUGAGUUGGGAACGAGAGCUCCUGCCUCCUGCCAUCUGACCUCUGUGGGGGAGGGGCUGUGGGUACCAAGUGAGAUGGUGUAGGUCAGCGGUCCCCAAUCUUUCUGGCCCCAGGGACCGGUGCUCCUAUGAGAAUCUAACGCCUGAUGAUCUGAGGUGGAGCUGAGGCGGUGAUGCUGGCGCUGGGGAGCGGCUGCACAUACCGAUGAAGCUUCGCUCGCUGGCCGGCAGCUCACCAGUGGCCUGGUUCCUAACAGGCUACGGACCAGUACCAGUCUGUGGCCCGGGAGUUGGGGGCCCCCUGGUAUAGGUGAUGGUGCUUGGUAAACUGCGCCCGUUGGGGGAGCUGGGAGAGCUUAUAGCUCUUUGAACCCGCCUCUCUCUCCCUUCUGGGCCUUUGCCCAAGCCGUGGCCUCUGCCUGGGUCUCCUUUCCUCCCUCUGACUCCAGCCCUUCCCCUCGGGGCCUCUUCCCCUGGAAGCCCUCCCUGACGCCCAGCAGGUCCUCUCCUGGGUGUCUCACCUCAUGAUCAGACCCCGAUGAUCUGCCUCACUCGCAGGACUGUGAGCCCCGUGAGGGCAGGAAUGACACACCUGGCAAGGGCCUGGCCCGACGUCCAGGUAUCUGAUGCGGAGCCUGUGGCCCCGGGAGCCAGAAGGAGGCAGAACCACGCGGCCCGGCUUCAGGCAGGCGGCGGCCUCGGCCGUCUUUUCCCAGUGCGUCGGAGGGCCCUGGAUGCCUGGGGACAUCUGGAUGCCUGGGGAACAUCUGGCCCUGCCCUCUGAGCACUGACAUUUUGAGGUGACACUGCCCCGGGUGUGCUUGCUUUUCUGCCUGGGCCCGGCCCUUUCCCUGUGUUCAGUGGGGCAGUGGGGGAAUGGCCCCUGGGUGCUACGAUCUAGAAAGUUCUAAUAACUCAUCGAAGGCAGUGCUGUUGUUAUCCACAUUUUGCAGAUGAGGAAACUGAGGCAAAGAGUGGGUAAGCAACAGUGUCCUGUCUCCUGAGGCCAGGCCCAGCAGCCCCUGCAUCUCCGAGGAGGAUAAAAGGGAGGUGAUGGGAAGGGAGACGUUUCUGGAGCAGCUGCCAUGAGACCUCGCGGGCAGAUAAAUUGGCAGAGUCUUGAGAACGCUUUCAUGUGCGGUGUGCAAAGGCGGCCUCUUUGGUGUCUGUCUGAGAGAUCAGGAAGAUUUAAACUGCUUUCUGAUGGUUUGGGGAUGUCAGACUGGUGUUUCUUUUGCAUGUGACAUGGCGAUGAGACUGGGCCCCAAGGCAGCCCAGUUUUAUUCAGGUUUCAGUCAUAACGAUAGCAACAGCAGUAACAAAAGCAGUCUUCCCGGACUGAGUGCUCGCCAUGUGCUCCACGCUGGGCUCGGCCUUGACUUGGGUGCACACUCUGAGCCCUCACCGCCAGCCUGAGGUAGAGGUUAUGCUUGUCCCCAUGUCAUUCCCUGACAGCUGGCAUCCGAAUCUGUUAGUCGCCACCUUCGGUCUCCCCUGUUAAGCAGUGAGCUUGGUGAAGGUCCCAGUCUGGUCUCUCCCAUUCAUUGCUGGGUCCCCGGCACCCAGUACCAGUUCCGCAAGGAAGAGCUGGACAAUAAAGCUUUGCUGGACACAGUUCAGAUGAAGAGACUGAGGGUCAGAGAGGUCCCCCCAGGUUUCUGGAGAGCUCAGAUUCUAAUUACCAUCUCACACGGAUCCUUGAGAGACCUUCUCUGAGACCUCCCCCCACCUCAAGAAAGGCAUGGAGCAUGACUCCCCUUACCCCCGCCCCACCCACCUUUCUCAGGCCUUGUGCUAAGACCUGAUAGCUUCUGAACUGAAUCCGCCCCCUCCCUACCGCUUCUUGCUUGCGAGGCACAUGGAUGGAAGUUGGCCAGAGCUGGCUCGGUCUUGGGGAAGCUGCGCUCUCCGGAGUUGCCCAGCUGUUUCGUGUGCCCUGAUUCAAAUUUUCCUUCCUUGUCACAUUGGUUCCCAUUCAGAGAAGUCUUUGAAGUGGAUAUGACUUUACUAUGUGAUUUCUGACCUGAUUAAUUCAUACGUGCAGUUAUUUGAUCACUAUUUCUUAUCUCUGUGGUGGUUCCAGUGGUUUAAGCAAUGGUUUUCGGCUGGGAUUGUAAACAAGAGACACUGAUGGUUAAGUGUCUGACUCUACCACUCAGUAACCUUGGAAACCUCAUGUGACCUCUCUGAGCCUUGGAUUUCUCAUCUGUAAAAUGGGGACAUGCAGGGAAAAGUACCUAUCUUGAUGCCUGGUCCUAGGUGGGGAGAAAGAGGUCGAGCUGUCUCUUUUUUUAAAAAAUCGCAUUUUCCACAAAUAAUAUACAAUUCUUAACCCUAUACUUUUAAGAAAUGUUGGUUUAAAAAAAGAAAAUCUGAACAACGAACCGUACCUGAGCGCCAGACGCGAGCCCAGCGUUGUAUUGGGUCCCUGGAAGGCAGGGUGGUCAGACCCCACUCGUGGGCGUGUCUCGUGAGAAACUCUUCACCUGCUCAGGUCGUCCUCACGCAAAGGUGCAGCUGACUGGGCUCGCCAUUUCCCAGGCGAGGAAAACGAGGCACAGAGAGGGGAAGUGACUUGCUUAGGGUUCCACAGGGAGACACUGACGAGCCUGGCUUUGGACCUGGGUGCAGAUCGGAGGCUGCUUCCAGCUGGGGCUCAGCUUCUUGGUGGGGGAAACACGUCGUCUGGACUUUGAGUCCUGACUUCAGGGCACAAAGAGGAGCCAGGGGUAGUCCCUGCCCUGCGUCUCCUAGGAGAGGGGGGGACACAGCGACAGAGCAGUGAAAACACUGGUGGUUACACAGACCAGUGGUGUAACGGGGGCACCCAAGGCUGUGUGACGGACCCACCCCAUAAAGAAUUGCUGGAAAGACCCCACAGGGCCUUGCUUUAAAAAACCCCCCUAAUCGGUGCGUGAGAUCAGCGUUCUAGACCUUCUGCUGUGGCUGAUGGAUGGAUGGUACAUUCUUUAUACCUUGAAAUGGACUCCUCUUGGCUUGUGUUUGAAGUGCACUUGGCUUGUCCCUCCCUGUGGUGUUCUAGCCCAUGGCAUGAGGCUUCCGGCCUGUAGUCUGCAGCUCCUGCUGCUCAGACACAUGAGAAUCAUUUUUAAGAAGCAACUGUACCCCUCCCCUGCAACCCUGUGGCCAGAAGUGACUUCAAGUCCCAGAUGGAAGGAUGCCUUCAGUAGGCAUAAGCUCUGGAGUCCCCACCACCACCAAGAUGUCUCUAGAUGGAGACAGUGUGUCCGGGUGAUGCUGUGAGGUGAAGUCAGUUGAUCGCGGGCCCCGGGCCUGCAUAGGACCUCGAGCCACCGCCACUGAUCUCUGUGCUCUCCCCACCAGACCUCCAAGGCGGCAGACCUCCUGGGGGUGUGGGGGCGGGGCUCCGCAAGGAGGGGCGGGGCUCCGGGGCUCCUCCCAAGGGGAUCCAGAGAAGCCCAGGAGGCCUCACAGGCACAUUCGGCCACGCCCAAGGUGAGAAGGAAGGUGCGGAGCCCAAUGGGAGCCGCAGGGAGAGGCCCACACCUGUCUUGUAGCUUUCUGCAGAAAUUCGUUUGUCUGGGGCUGGCUUCCUCCAGGCUCGCCUGCAGACCUGCAAACAAGAGCCCACACGUCGUCCUCAAGGUCAGCUUCCGCAGAGAAUGUGAAGUGAAGAGCAUCUGGUGGAGACCUGGGCCGGGGCCGCGGUCUGCCCCUCACGUCAUUGCCUCCCACGGGGGGCUGCCUCUGCACCCCCAGCACCGGCAGGGCUGGGUGGGGGUGGGGAAGCGCUCGCUUCGUUUUAAAGAAAAUAUAACGAAGCGGUGCCACUGCUGAAAAAUAAUUGAGACAAAUGCCCUCCGUUCAGUAACUCAAGUUUCUAAAUGAACGUCUCUCCACGUUCCUACCAGAAAAGGCCCCCUGCUGUUUUCGGCCCCCAGGCCUGUGUUUGCCCAACAUGCAAACUGCAUCCGUUGAGUAAUAGACUCGUUCCCAUUUGGGGUCAAUCAAGGGCAACGCUGAUGCCUGCUCAGCUCCCACCAGCCCGGAGAGUCUGACGGGCACAGUGGGUUGACAGAAUCCCAGCCAAAGCAAGGCAGCGCGAUGUCCUACGCAGGCCCUCGGUAAAGGCGCAGCGGCCAUCAUGGAUUUCAAAAGACUGUAAACAGCAUGGAGCCCCUCAGGGAAACCCAGACUGGGAACCACUGGGCUAAGCCAGUGAGGAUGGGGGUGCAGCUCGCUGACAGUCCCCACAGCCACCCAUUUCCCCAUCAAGGAAGUCCUCGAGCAGCAGUGGCUGUGGGGUCAGCCUGACUCUGCCAUUUGCCAGCUGUGUGACCUUGGGUGGAUGGCUUCCUCUCUCUGAACCUCCCUCCGGGGCGUGAGUGUGCCGUAAGGACUGGGUGUCAUUAUCGUCACUACCUCUUGUUCGGGUCUCCUGCCCUCCACUCUGCCGUGCCCUGAUCAUCUCACUGGCUUUCUAGGGAGCACACGGAACCCCUCUGAGAAGCUGUCUGCGGUGGGACAGAGAACCUGGGAGGGGAGCAAAGACGGGGGGCAUGGCAGCCCAUGAGGGGGCAGGCUGAGAGCGCCUUGAGACUGCAGUUCUGGGGUGCAUCUGAGCAUUCCCCACCUUUAACAUGCCUCAAAUCCCCUGGGAAUUUUGUUUAAAUGCAGAUUCUGAUGCAGAGGGCCGGACUGGGGCUCCCUUAUGAGGAAGAUGCGGGCCAGCCGGGACCACACUCCGAGUAGCAGGGUGCCCACACUGGGACCUCUGGCCUGAGGAGGAGGGCGGGCCACUCGGUGUCUGGAAGUGAUGGCUCUAGACUAGCGUGAGAGCCCCAGAAUGUCCAUGCUGGGAAAGAUGAAGCGACAUGAGGGUAAAAUUAUGUUUUCAACGAAAGAAAAGACCUCUGCUUCCUAUCGAGCAGCAAGAUCUCUGUUCCUGCCCCUGUGCAGCCCCAGGGGCCCGAAAGAAUUUGGUUUUUCUGAGCACAACCUUUCCUUGCUGAAGGGGGUGCAUUUGCUCUUAAAAAGUUGCCUGUAAAACAGAUUUUUCUAUAUCAGACGCUGUUUUCCAGUGGUUCGUGUUUUAAGACCCUGGUUGCAUUCUCACAGAGAAAUAUCCAGCUCCGAGGCACUGGCGUUGGGAAAGCGUGUAGAGAGUUCCGGGGCACAGCAUGGCCCACGUGUUAUGGGUUUUGGAGCUGAUGAGAGCUGGAGCUGGAGUUUGGAAACCAACUCUGAAUCCCAAAUGGGCUGAGAUCCACGGCCAGACACUGGCCCUGAGCCCUGACCGAUAUCACUCACUGAUUGUUAAGACAGGUGGGACCAGAGGGGACCCAGGACAAACCAAUUCCUCAGAUGGAGACAAAGAGCCCAGACGGACCAUCGGUCGUGGUCGGCUGGCCUUCUUGCCUUUGCACAAAAUGCCACGGGCCACACUCUGACCAUCAGGCCGGGAGUAGCUUUGUUUUUACAUGGGGGCACAGUUGUUUAAUGCUCUGGAGAAGCCUGCCGCCAUGACAGUGUGGCUGGUUUUCCCAGGAUGCUCUGAAGCUGUGAUGCUGCUCUUCCCCGGAGACUGCUGAGAGGCGCUGGCUUAGGAGACUCCCGGGUUUCCCAGCCCACCGGGGUCUGCACUGAGAAUCUCAAAUAAGAGGCCGAAGUCCACAGUCUGCCCUUAUUAGAUGGAUCGUCGCUUUCCUGAGCAUAUUCCGGGAUCGGUGUUCCAAGGAACACACUUUGGGAACCCAGACAGUGACAGGCCCUCACAACCAAAAGGUCUCUCUGUUCUUGUAUCAGUUACCUAAUUAGUAAUUAGUUAUCUGCAUAACAAGUCACCCCGAACGAAGUGGCUUAAAACAAUAAGCAUUUUAUUAUCUCAUGGUUUCUGUGGGAAGGGAAUUCCGAAGGGUAUAACUGGCUGGUUCCAGCUUGUGGUCUCUUUGGAGGUGGCAGUCAAGACGUCAGCCGGGAGCUGGGGCCGCAGCCAUCUCAUGGCUUGACUCAGGCUGGAGGACGGACUUCUAAGAAGGUGCACUCACACAGCUGGCCAGACGGCGCUGGCUGUUGGCGGGAGGGCUCGGUUCCUUGCCAUGGGGACUUCUCUGUAGAGUCGCUUGAGUUUGUUCUCAAUACGGCGCUGGCUUCCGCCAGAGGGAGGGAUGCAAGAGAACAAGACUGAAGCCGCAAUGUCCUUUAUGACCUAGCCUCAGACCGCACAUGUGGUCACUUCCACCAUGUCCUAUUGGUGGAAAGGACAGGGCAGGCCUAGUCCUUGUGGGAGGGGCCUACAGAGACAUAAAUGCCAGGAGAUGGGAAUCAUUUGGAGACCACCUUGCAGGCUGACUAGGACGAUAACCAUCACUUCAGUCCAAGGACAGAUAACUGACCUCAUUCACACAGUUGGUUUUCAACCAUUUAGUGCCGGAGAGUAACUCUGAGAAGUGAACCUGCUCACUUGUGAUGCAGAGGGCGGAGGAAGAGACUAGGAAUUUGUCAGCCAUGCCAAAUCCCAGUGAACGACCGCAAGAAUGAUAUUGCAGUCCCAUCUGUCGAGCGCUCACCUGUGCCUGGUGCCUCUCGGGCAUCAUGGCGCUGUGCCCUCCCUGUCCCCAAGCAGUAGGUUCCACCGAAAUUUCCAAGUUAGGCCACACAUGUCCAUGAAAUCAUAAAAUGAGCUUUGUGUGUGUGUGAUGACCAGUACGGCGACACAGGCUGCUCUGCCUUCUGCAAGUUCAGGGACAAAACUGGUGACUCAGGUGAACCCACGUGGAGAAGGUUGGAGUAGAGAGUAAACGGGAUGGAUAAAUGGAUAAAUGCCAAAGAUAAACAAACCAGAAAUAGGUGAGAGCAAAUAUUUAUUUCAUGUACGUUAACAAGACGAGGAAUCGGAGUGAGCCAGGGGAGACUUCAGUUUGCCAGGGACUCAUCGCUGCGACAAGUGGUCGCAUUUCCGGGCUGGGAGGCAGUGAGGCCUCUCGUGGUGAGAGCAUGCACCUGGGUGCCCGAGACACCUGCAUCCCGGACCUGCCCAUGUCUGUCAUUAGCUGUGUGACCCAGGCAAGUGACUUCAUGGUCCUCAGUUUCCCGUCUGUAAAAUGGGGUGAUAACUGGUGAACUCUUCCGGUUGUGAUGAGGGUUCAGGGACAAUCCCUGGCCCAGCCUAAGGGUUCUAGAAUGCUUUACCGUGGCAAAGCCGAUGGCGGGUCACCAAGGUGGUGGCACCCAGGUUCGAAGAACCCUUGUAGAAGCAUCAUCACCUGGAAGGAGCCUUGCUCUGUAACUAAGAAUGGACCCAGAGCCACAAAAUAGACAUUAGCUGCUGCUCGCGCCUCCUGCAGGGGUGACUCCAGGAGGCUGGAAGGACCUCAGCGCCUCCUUCCUGGGGGCAUGUGCAGGCACGGAGCUGGCCCAGCCCCUUCCUGUCCUGUCUGUGCAAGGUUUCAACACGGGGAGCGUCCUGGGCGUGUUUUCCCUUCGGAAGUCUUAACCCGCUGAGCAGGACUCAGGGAGCCCUGGCUGCAUGUGCUGUCCCAACAAACAGACCAGGCAUAGACACGCUCAGAAAACGGAAGACAGGUGCUGCUUCCUGAUCCCGCAGCCUGGGCCUGAGCCGACAGAAGCGGUCUGGGGGUCAGGAUGGCCUGGGAGCACCUGCCUCCCUCCCUCAGGGCUGUGUGACUCUGGGCAAGUGCCUCCACCUCCCUGGGCCUCCGUUUCCUCGGCCCUGGGCUGGCCUUCGGUCUGUUCUGAGGAGCCCGGAGCUGGCCGGGUGGACACAGAGCCCACGCGAGUGUGCACGGGGCCGGUCUCGGACCACCCCUUCCUCUCCAAUCUGGACAGCGCCGUUUCGUCUCUUUGGUACAUUUGUGUUCUGAGUCAUACUUCACUAAAAAAAGAAAAGAAAGAAAAGAAGAAGAAGAAAAGGAAACGCGUCCACGGUGAAAACAAUACACUCCAGAACUUUCCCGCCAAUUUACUUCGUCCGCUGGCUCAUUCCUUCAAGCUCUAAGGGGGCUGCCCAUUUCCAAACGGUUCUUGGUUUUCGGGACUUGCAUCUCUGUUUCUCUGGCCCCUGCCUCCUGAAGACACCUGAGGCCUCGUGAGAGGUGGAGAAAGGAAGGAGGCUUUGGAUGGGGGCAUCUCAGAGAUUUGGGGGUAUCCUCUGUGAAUGUCAAGGUCACGGGCAAGCUGGCUUCCUCUCUGGAUACGGGCCGUGGGCAUCUCAGAUGCACACCCCUUGGUCCUACUGUGUCCGAGGCAUAUGGGCAUAUGCAUGGUGGCCCGACCACGGUGGCCCGCCAGCCGCUGCUGCCUCUGGGGCUCAGUUUCAUCUGUGCAGUGAGGAGGCUGUAGGCCUGGAUGAGCUCUCAGCCCCUCCCAACUUCAACACCCUGUAAUUGCUGCAUUUAUUGAGCUCCAGCUGUCUGCAGAGUGGUGUCUGAAGUGUGGGAGGGGCGGACCCCAUCCUGGGAGGAGAAGCCAAACUGAGCCUGCGGCCUCUCGCUGGCCCGGGGAUGGCAGGGCUCAGAGUAGCCACCGGUGCCCCAGGAGAAGCCGGUGCCAAGUCCAGCUGCCAGGCUGCCAUUCGAAAUACUUCCUGUUGGUGGCACUUUGGCGUGGUUCAGGUGUCUGGUCUUAGAGUAUAUUGGUUUAUAUAUGAAAAUGUGCUAGUUCCCUCUCUCCGUUAAGGUUCUGUUUGUCACUUGCGUAAAUCUCAGUGCCUAGAGCUGGACUUGACCAUGUCGCUCCCCAAGUAAAACCCUCCCAUGGCUCCUCACUGCCCUUGGAAGACAGUCCAAGCCCAGGCGUGGCCCCAAGGCCUUCUGGGGCCUGACACAGGCCGAGCUCUCCCACCUGGGGACUCCCCACCCUUCACCCUCUCUCCUCCAGACACACAGGUUGGACUGUACCAACCUCUUUCUUCUGCCUAGAGCCUCACGCUUGCUGCGUCCUCCGCCUGGAACACUCUCUCUCCCCGUCUUCUCCUGGCUCACUAAGUGUCAUUUUCUCCAGGAAGCCCUCCCUCCCUAAUUGAGCCACUUUAGUUGACGCUCUGGCUCACCCUGUACUUCUCCUUUGUAGCACUCACAAUGCAAUGAUCUGAAAACGCCUGUUUAUCCGAUUCCCCCCCAACCCCAACGUGAGCUCCACGAGAGACUCCCUGUCGGAUUUUCACGCCGAGUGCCAGGCACGGUGCCCAGCACCCAGGGGCAGCUCUGAAAAUGUCUGCUGAGUGAAUCCACGGCUAGAGACUGUGUGAGCCUGACAUACAGCCUGUUGAUCCAGGAGUGUGGAGUGAAUGGAAAAAGGCCGAACGACUGGUUCUCGAAGGCCUCGUUGCCUUCUUUCCUCCGGUUUCCUUCAAGGAAGGGCCGUCACGGCGCCGAAUGUUAUUCUGAGCUCAGGCACAAAUGGAUUUCUUUCUCCACAAGCACGCGCCUUUUUUUUUUUGAGGGAGCAGCGUUCCCUGAUCCUGCAGAAUGAGCUCCGUCUGCGGACAGAAUUUCCAAGGGACCCGAGGAGGCCUCUGCAGUCAUCCAGACCCGGUUCGAAUCCCAGCUCCACCACCUUCGAGCUUCGUGGCGGUGGCACCUCUUUGUGGACCUCAGCUUCCUCAUUUGGAAACUGGAAGAGAGGGUGGGGGGAGUGGCAGCAGCGGUCUGGCUCUGCCGAGGCUCGGGGUCGCUUGCCUUCCUGGUACCACAGAUGUGUGAUCUGUUUGGGGCUUGUCGAGGUGUCCCCUCCAUCCAGGCCCUGGGCUUUGCCUAAGCAGCCAGGAGAUGACAGGGCUCGGCGGCCCUCAGAGGUGGCGCCUUGGCCACGGGUGGCUGGAGUCAGCAGUGGAGCUCCUGGGACCCCAUGUCUCUGGAGGGUGGGGCAGGUGAUCCGUGUGAGCUAGCGGGGUCCUGUGAGAAUCGAGACCCCAUUUACAGGUAAGGAGGCUCAUGGGAGAUGUGGCUCACCCAAAGGAGGGAUUUUAACCCGGAAACCACACCAAUAACUGCAAGUUUUCCCUCCUACGAUCUGAGCUGCCGCCGUUUACUGAGUGAGUCUUUACUGUGUGCCAGGCGGUGACUGACCUACUUUAAUUCAAUAUGCCUAAGUGGGAGGUAUCCAUUUUUUUCUUCUUCAGGAAACAGAGAGAUUGAUGCACUUGCCCAAGGUCACACAGCUUGCAUUGAGUGGAGCCUGACUUUGAACUCCUGUGCCCUUGGCCAAUCUCCUCUGCAUCUCGCUUGGGAUCCAGGCUCUGUACAGAGGGGCUGGGCCACCUUGGGUGAGUGGCUUAAGCCCCAGAGCCACAAAGCCAGGGGGAAAUCUCCAGCACCCGCUGAGAUGAUGGUGAUAAGUUGUCAGUAUCGCCAGGUUAGGGAAGCAUAGAAGGGCCCAGACUCUUACUCUAGGGCACACAGCAGGCUGAGCCAAGACUCGCCCAGGGAGAUGAUGGCUCCCCUUCCCCUGGCUCUCUGUCGGUGGCUCCAGCAGGCCGUGCGUGGUCGGGAAGGACCGCCACAGCUGACUGGGCUCUGGCGGACAGUAGGACAGAUGAUGGCUGCCCCCUCCCAGGGCCCGCGGGCUUCGCGGCUCCGCCGCCUCCCCCCUGAGCAGGUUGCCUUUAAGAAAGCAGAAGAUUGAUUUCCUGGCCGGCUCUGCGCCGAGGAGCCCGUCCAAAUGGUUUGCAUGUCUGCAUUUUUUACUGCUCCGGUUUAAUAUGUAUGCAAAUACCGGCCGGCUGCGCCCGCGCCGCGCAGUCACACGCGGCGCCCCAUUAAAGCGGCCGUCCGGGCGCGCACCUCAUUCGAGGCGACGGGCUCGGCGGCCUGAUAGAUGGGGUGCGGGGACGGAGACAAAUGACAGGCUUUUGAGACGUGGCAGCUGGGGGGCAGCCUGGAAGGUUGUGUGAAGAUGGGACCAUUUCACAGAGAAAGCUCCCACGCAAAGAGAGGGCCAUUCAGACCAACCGAGGACCCAGAGUUCCACAUUUCUGUGCGUGUGUUCGCGUCAGUGUGUACGCGAAUGUGAGCCUUAGGAGAACCUGGAAAGUGGGGUGCUCAGUAAGUUUCCGAUGUCUGGCCCUCACUGAGAGUGGGGCUCAUUCACCCGGGCCCAACCAGACAGAGACUCCAAGUCCUAAGUCUUCUCUCAACCCACCUACGUCUUCGGACAGUCCACCCUUCCUCCAGGCCGCCCCAGGGUGUCUGUCCCCUUCCCUGGGCCGGACCCAACCACAGUCACAGCACCAACAGUGGUAACAGUGACCCGUCUCCUGUAGUCUAUCUGCUCCACCCCAUCAAGAAAAUUCAUUUUUAGUGGACAUCCCCGUAAAGCCAGCCCUGCCAGCCAUAGGCCCAAAGCCCAGAGAAUAAGGGUGAUGAGCCUGGCGGUGCGGUGGAGCCCUGAGUCUCCCCGAGAAGGAAUUACCAAGUUUGCAGGUUUGCUUGCUCAGCGGUCUCCUCCUGCUGCCAGGAGGGCAGACCCUAGGCUCUGCCACGACCUCCCCAAACCCCCAAACCUGUCGGGCACAUGGUGGUCACUCGGCAAGGAUCUGCUAAAAUAGACAAGCGAGAGGGUGCAGGAAUCGAUGAGACCAUGGGCUGUGGCAAAGCAUCUCCGGGCCUCCUGCCCCGUGGCCCCCUCGGGGUCUGUAUCCUCACUCCCCAGCUGGUUGGGGGGCUGCCGUGUGUGGGCCCGCUGAGUCAGGCCCUACCCUGGGCAAGGGGCCACCACGGCUCUCACGGAUUUUGCUGACGGGGCUGAAAAUGCGUCUGCACCUCCCUCUGCGACCCGCCAUUACUCAUGGUUGGCAUUUAUCCCCAAGCAAGGGGUGACCCGCGGAGCAGCCCGAAGCCUCCCGUGUGUUCUGAAGAAGGGGCGGCUUGAGGCUGGGCUGUGAGGAGGCGCCGCAGGAAUGGCGAGCAGCUGCUCUGAGUGCAGUGACCACAUUUUUCUGAGCUGAAAAAUUAGGACACAGGAUGUAGCUGAGGGUUUUCUCAGAUUUGUUCAUUUAAUGAGUAGGAAAAUCUUACGGAGGUAUGAACGUUACGCGUAUUUUGUUAUGUAGGUAAUGGAUUGUCUUCAUUGAAAAGAAUCUGAGUUUCCAAAACCGGGGAGAUUCUGGAAAUUAAUGAUUCAAUGCGACUAAUAUCUUGGGAGCAUCUGGGUCAACACCGUCCUUGGUGCUUGCACUAUAAUGGGGGACAAUACAGGCGUGAUCCUGGCCUCACGGAGCUCACGUGUGGAGGCUGACAUUCCUCAGGUAAUUUUGCGAGCAGCCCCAGAGGUGCUAUGGGGGAUUUAUAGGGCUGUGAGGACCAAGAGUUCUCAUGCAGACAGGGGGUGGAGAUGUCAAGGGGAACUUUGAAGACAUAAUGUUUGAGGUGAGACAGAGCCUUUUCGGAGUUAACUAGUGAAGGGAUGUGACUGGAGUGAGGAAGCACAUUUCCGGCAGGAUGAAGAGCACGUGCAAAGGGCCUGUGGCAGAAAGGCCGCUGGGUGUGCGAGGGCAAGGAGGGCAGCCCAGGUGACUGGAAUGUGAUGAGUGAGGGGAAGAGGAAGCUGGAGGUGUUAGCAGGGACCAGUCCAGGCAGUGCCCACCCAUCCAUAAGAGUGUGGUGGACUUUCUCCUCUUGGCAACGGGGCCCUAUGGACUGUCUGACAUAGAUGUGACCGGCCCGUACAUCUGGAUGUUGAUGACAAUGAGGACGAUGAUAAUAUUGGUAACUACGGAAGUGUUUACUGAGCGCUCACUAUGUGCCAAUCACCAUUUCAGCCAUUUGAGAGAUGAGGAAAGUGAGGGCUGGGAGGGGAAGUGACUUAUCCUAGGUCACACAGCUGUCAAGUGACAGAAAUGGAGGUCAGGCUGAGCCUGUCUAGCUCCAAAGUCCCUGCUUUUGUCUCACACACAAAUCUGCCCUUGUCUGGACAUGAAAGGUCAAAGGACAUGCAAGUGACCCCCCCCGCCUCCCGUCCCUCUUGCCUUGCUGUGGUUCUGCCUCCUCUCUGCUCUGUGUCUUAGGUCUGGGUGAGGACUCUAGGUCACAGGGUCAGCUGGGGCUGGAAAGGCCCAGCUCAACUCUAGGCCCAGCAGGGGAAGUAGGGGAUGCAACAUUAGAGGCUGAAGUUCUGGAGAAGGUGGGACCCCAGCCAGGGUCGGGGCCUCUACCGCACCCUGCUCAGUGGAGCACAGCUCCAGGAGCACAGCCUGCUCACCUGUUUGGGAGUUGAAGACUUCGAGAUGCAGCUACACUAUCCCCGGGAGAAGGGCAGCACCCCGGCCCCCUGCUUCCUCCCGUGGAAGCAGGUCCGGGUGGUUGCACCACUAUCGACUCACCAAUGGCCUUAAAAAAUCCUUAUUCCUUCCGCGAUCAUCAGGGACAUGCGAAUCAAGAUAGUUCACACCUGUGAGAACGGCUCCUAUCGACGACCAGAGAAGAACAAGUGUUGGCGAGGAUGUAAAACGGUACAGAUGCUGUGGAAAACAGUAUGGCGGUGCCUCAUCGAUUUAAACAGAAUUACCAUACGACCCAGUAAUUCUACUUUGGGUUAUAAACCCAAAAGAAUUGAAAGCAAAGUCUCGGAUAUAUGUACACCAUCACUGCAGCGUUAUUCACAACGGCCAAAAGGUGGAAACAACCCAAGUGUCCAUCGACAGACAAAGAGAUGAACAA